UACGUAGGGUGCAAGCGUUGUCCGGAAUUAUUGGGCGUAAAGAGCUCGUAGGCGGUCUGUCGCGUCGGCUGUGAAAACCCGGGGCUCAACCCCGGGCCUGCAGUCGAUACGGGCAGACUAGAGUGCGGUAGGGGAGACUGGAAUUCCUGGUGUAGCGGUGAAAUGCGCAGAUAUCAGGAGGAACACCGGUGGCGAAGGCGGGUCUCUGGGCCGUAACUGACGCUGAGGAGCGAAAGCGCGGGGAGCGAACAGG
rnacentral:rRNA from 1 species